GGAGACGUGGGUGAGCUGGCUGAAACCACACCCCUGCUAAGGGUGCGUGCCUUAACGGGCACCGAGGGUUCGAAUCCCUCCGUCUCCG
rnacentral:tRNA from 1 species